ensembl:snoRNA snoRNA:Psi18S-525a snoRNA:Psi18S-525a
UUGUGGAACAAAAGUGGCAUACUUGGAAAAAAUCUCCUGUUGUGUCUCAAAUGUUCCAAAAUAAACCAAAAGGACGAACGGCAUCCUGAAUAAUCAAUCAUAUUAUAGCAGAUGACUUGUGUUCGUGUACAUAA